rnacentral:rRNA from 1 species
GACGAACGCUGGCGGCGUGCCUAAUACAUGCAAGUAGGACGCAGUUGCGAACGGGUGAGUAACGCGUAGGUAACUCCCUAUUAGAGGGGGAUAACUCUUGGAAAAGAUAGCUCAUACCGCAUACUAGUAGAUGGACCUGCGUUGUAUUAGCUAGUAGGUUGGGUAAUGGCCUACCUAGGCAACGAUACAUAGCCGAACUGGAGGGGGGGUCGGCCACACCUGGACUUGGACACCGGCCAGGCUCCUACCGGAGGGAGCAGUAGGGAAACUUCGGGAAAGGGGCGAAACCUGACCGAGCAACGCCGGGGGAGUGGAGAAAGGUUUCGGAUCGUAAAGCUCUGUUGGUAAGGAAGCGGUACUUAACCAGAAAGGGACGGCUAACUACGUGCCAGCAGCCGCGGUAAUAC